GCGAGCCCGACGGCCCCGCCCCGCCGCGCGCGCUGCCCCGGCGGCGCGAGGGGAGCGGGCUGAGGGCGUGCCGGGAAAAGCCCCGUGACGGGAUCCAGGGAUGCCAGCGUCACCCAGGGUGGAAAAGACCCUCGGGAUCAGCCAGUGCUACCGUCCAGCCAGCACUGCCACUGUAACCCAGUCACAUCACCCACCGCCAGAUCCAAACACCUCUUCAACACCUCUGAGCUUGAGUCGAUUUCCUUUGGCCGUCUAGCUGCAGGCACAGCAGAAGAGACCAGAUCCCACCUGGCUCCAGCCUCCUGUAGGGAGCCACGAGGUUCCCGCUGAGCCUCCUCUUCUCCAGGCAGAACAGCCCCAGCUCCCUGAGCCGUUCCUCAUCAGGCAUGGUUUCUAGACCUUUCACAAGCUUUCUGCCCUUCUCUGAUCACACUCCAGCACCUCACACGGUACUUGAGGUGCAGCCUCACCAAUGCCUGCUCCCUGCCCUCUUCACAGGCCUGCUCGAGGUUACAGCCUUUGCUCAGCUACUUGAACGAGCACUCGCUCCUGCUACCUGACUGUUGGAGUCAGGGUGCGUUCACAUAAACGGCUCAGCUAACCAACAUGAAUGUAGUCAGGAAACAUCACCUAGCAGCAGUGACCUGUUCCACAAGUACAGCCAGCUCAGCAAGUGGGGCUUUGUCCAGAGAUUCUAGGUCCAAAGAUUUGUUGGAAUUACUUUAAUAUAGUUAUUAGAGUAUUUAAUGUAGACAAAUCCAUAGAAUUUUUUUUUUUUUUUGAUAGAAGAACAUUUCUCUCCCUAGUUUUAGAUAACAUAACAAAAUGGCGCACACAGCUCUACUGGAGCUCUAGAUAUUAGUGUAAUAAAAAUAAGAUUUGUCUGCUUAGA